ACUGAGUGGCAAACGGGUGAGUAUAAUGUGGGAAUCUGCCUUUUGGUUUGGAAUAACACGGGGAAACUUGUGCUAAUACCGAAUAAGCCCUUACAGGGAAAGUUUUAAUGCCGAAAGAUGAGCCCGCACUUGAUUAGCUAGUUGGUAAGGUAAAAGCUUACCAAGGCAACGAUCAAUAGCUGUUCUUAGAGGAAGACCAGCCACAUUGGGACUGAGACACGGCCCAGACUCCUACGGGAGGCAGCAGUGGGGAAUCUUGCACAAUGGGGGAAACCCUGAUGCAGCGAUGCCGCGUGAGUGAAGAAGGCCUUUGGGUUGUAAAACUCUUUCGUCGGGGAAGAAAAUGACUGUACCCGAAUAAGAAGGUCCGGCUAACUUCGUGCCAGCAGCCGCGGUAAUACGAAGGGACCUAGCGUAGUUCGGAAUUACUGGGCUUAAAGAGCUCGUAGG
rnacentral:rRNA from 1 species